GAUUUAUCCAUGUUGCUUCCACGUGGCCUGGCUUCUUUUAGCCCUUUGGCUUGCCGUGCUUUAUGCAUGUCGUGCUUUAUGCAUGCCUGUCAGGGAGUUGCCCGUGGUAAGACCACACAAAUAAACCUUUUUAUAUAAUACCAUGUCUGAAAUUCAUUGCAAAUGAAAUAAAACUUUCAACAACGGAUCUCUAGGCUCUUGCAUCGAUGAAGAACGCAGUGAAAUGCGAUAAGUAAUGUGAAUUGCAGAAUCUCGUGAAUCAUCGAAUCUUUGAACGCACAUUGCGCCCUAUGGUAUUCCGUAGGGCAUGCCUGUCUGAGCGUCAGCUCCCCCCCUCUCAAGCCUUUUUGUUUUCCAACAAGGCUUGGAUUACUUUGAAGACGUAGCUUUUUGUGAGCCGCCCUUCAGAAAUUCAUAGGCAGUAUGGUUGUUCCUGAACCAGACGUAAUAAUAAUAAAACCGUC
rnacentral:rRNA from 1 species